rnacentral:ncRNA from 1 species
UUGCUUUAAUAUGGGUAAGACCUGUGAGAAUCAGGCACAGUCGCGCUACGGUAUUGAAAACUCUCGUUUCUCUAAGUCCGAAAACCAUAAGUAA